GAAAAACACAUUGUUGUGUGAUGAGCUGGAGUCAACUGAAACAAAUAAAAGCUCACCUCACUCCUCCGUCGAAGCAACAACCUGUUCAACACACAACACCACACAGAUCCAUUACCUUGUUGCGCCAAAGAGCAACAGCAGAUAAGCCAUGAACUUUCAGAUCGCGCUAGGAGUUUUCUGCCUUAUUGUUCUGGCACAAGGAAUGACAACAACCAUGGGUGCUCCUGAGGGGGAAAAGCCUGCUUGUGAGAAAUAUCAUUUGCCUGCAUGUGAGAGAAGCUAUGUGCCGGUGUGCGCAACUGACGGCCAUACAUACCCAAAUGAGUGUGCGCUUUGUUAUGCCAUCAGCACAGGGGACACCUCGGCUUUAAUCCAAAACAGAGGAGAAUGUCCAAACUGAAUGAUAGUCCAAUUAUUUGGACUAUCAUUCAGUUUGGACCUGUGAUGCUACUAUAUAGCGAGGGUUGAUUUAAUAUACUCAAUGAUCAUUUGUUGUGAGGGAAAGGGUUUGCAGUGAUUUAAAUGGUUACUCAAGGUGAUAUUAACAAUAUCAACAAAAUAAUUGUUAUGAUUUUGUUUUUAUGAUUGAUUGUGUUUCAUUUGAAUUCGUAUUCAAAUUAAUUUUCAUAUGACAUGUUUUUCUUAUUGUGUUUCUUUUUCUCAAUCGAUGAUUAAAUGACUUCAACAUAACAACAAGAAGAUUAGAGCUUUGUACAACUGUCUUACCUAACAUGAGUAGAUUGUCAAUUACCCUGGUUUAUGGACAUAGGCCUAUUAUUGAUUAAAAUGAUAUAUAAUUUAUAAUCAGGCAAUAUUGUUUGCUGUUGUUUCUAUGUUGUCUUAUCUAGGUAUAAACCUUAAAACUAAUUUAA